GGGUGUAUAGCUCAGUUGGUUAGAGCCAUCGGCUGUUAACCGAUGCGUCGCAGGUUCGAGUCCUGCUAUGCCCG
rnacentral:tRNA from 1 species